GACGGAGGAUGCAAGCGUUAUCCGGAAUGAUUGGGCGUAAAGCGUCCGCAGGUGGCAAUUCAAGUCUGCUGUUAAAGCGCAGGGCUUAACUCUGUAAAGGCAGUGGAAACUGAAUAGCUAGAGUGUGGUAGGGGCAGAGGGAAUUCCCAGUGUAGCGGUGAAAUGCGUAGAGAUUGGGAAGAACAUCGGUGGCGAAGGCGCUCUGCUGGACCAUAACUGACACUCACAGGACGAAAGCUAAGGGAGCGAAUGGG
rnacentral:rRNA from 1 species